rnacentral:rRNA from 1 species
GAUGAACGCUAGCGGCAGGCUUAAUACAUGCAAGUCGAGGGGCAGCAUGACUGUAGCAAUACAGUUGAUGGCGACCGGCAAACGGGUGCGGAACACGUACAGAACCUUCCUUCGAGCGGGGAAUAGCCCAGAGAAAUUUGGAUUAAUACCCCAUAGUAUUACGGAGUGGCAUCACUUUGUAAUUAAAGAUUUAUCACUUGAAGAUGGCUGUGCGGCUGAUUAGGUAGUUGGCGGGGUAACGGCCCACCAAGCCUGCGAUCAGUAACUGGUGUGAGAGCACGACCAGUCACACGGGCACUGAGACACGGGCCCGACUCCUACGGGAGGCAGCAGUAAGGAAUAUUGGUCAAUGGACGAAAGUCUGAACCAGCCAUGCCGCGUGGAGGAUGAAGGUCCUCUGGAUUGUAAACUUCUUUUAUUUGGGACGAAAAAAGGCUUUUCUAAGUCGUCUGACGGUACCAUAUGAAUAAGCACCGGCUAACUCCGUGCCAGCAGCCGCCGUAAGAC